rnacentral:rRNA from 1 species
UACGAAGGGGGCUAGCGUUGUUCGGAAUUACUGGGCGUAAAGCGUGCGCAGGCGGCUUUGCAAGACAGAUGUGAAAUCCCCGGGCUUAACCUGGGAACUGCAUUUGUGACUGCAUGGCUGGAGUGCGGCAGAGGGGGAUGGAAUUCCGCGUGUAGCAGUGAAAUGCGUAGAUAUGCGGAGGAACACCAGUGGCGAAGGCGGCUUACUGGCCCGGUACUGACGCUGAGGUGCGAAAGCGUGGGGAGCAAACAGG